rnacentral:rRNA from 1 species
GGGGGGUACAUCAGCGGCGAACGGGUGAGUAAGACGUGGGUGACCUUCCCCAAAGACGGGGAUAAGUCUUGGAAGCAGGGGCUAAUACCCGAUGUGCUCAGCAGUACAGUCUGUUGAGUAGAGCUAUGGCGCUUUGGGAUGGGCCCGCUGCCCAUCAGCUAGUUGGUAGGGUAAAGGCCUACCAAUGCUAAGACGGGUAGGGGGCGUGAGAGCGCGAUCCCCCACACUGACACUGAGACACUGGGCCAGAGUCCUACGGGAGGCAUCAAUGAGGAAUAUUGCGCAAUGGACGAAAGUCUGACGCAGCGACGCCGCGUGGGCGAUGACCGCCUUCGGGUCGUAGAGCCCUUUUCUGGGGGACGAGAAAGGACGGUACCCCAGGAAUAAUCCCCGGCUAACUACGUGUCAGCAGCCGCGGUAAAACGUAGGGGGCAAGCGUUAUCCGGAUUUACUGGGCGUAAAGAGCGUUGAGGCGGUUAUGUAAGUUGGGCGUGAAAGCCCUGGGUUUAAGUCAGGGAAGCCGUUCAAUACUGCGAAACUUGAGUGGCAGCACAGGGAGGUGUAAUUCCCUGAGUAGCUGUGAAAUGCGUAGAUAUCGUGAGGAACACCAUUGGCGAAUGCGGUCUCCUGGGCUGCUCCUGACGCUGA